UAAGGAAUCUUCCACAAUGGACGAAAGUCUGAUGGAGCAACGCCGCGUGCAGGAUGACGGUCUUCGGAUUGUAAACUGCUUUUAUACGGGAAGAUUAUGACGGUACCGUAUGAAUAAGCACCGGCUAACUACGUGCCAGCAGCCGCGGUAAUACGUAGGGUGCAAGCGUUAUCCGGAAUCACUGGGCGUAAAGCGUCCGCAGCCGGCUCGUUAAGUGAGAUGUUAAAUCGUGUGGCUCAACCAUAUCGAUGCAUUUCAUACUGGCGGGCUAGAGGAAAUCAGAGGCAAGUGGAAUUGGUAGUGUAGCAGUGAAAUGCGUAGAUAUUACCAGGAACACCAAUGGCGAAGGCAGCUUGCUGGGAUUUUUCUGACGGUCAGGGACGAAAGCGUGGGGAGCGAACAG
rnacentral:rRNA from 1 species